AAAGGGAGACCUAAUUCGGGUAGAAGACGAAAAAAUAGUAGUCGAAACCAAGAAUCAAUCCCAAAAGGUCGGAACGAGGUAUGUGGCUUUCAAACUAGGUUCUGGGUUCACAAAAGACCUGAAUCAGGAACAAGGGCUAUUAGCUCAGGUGGUUAGAGCGCACCCCUGAUAAGGGUGAGGUCCCUGGUUCGAGUCCAGGAUGGCCCACCUGCACAGGUGGCAAAAACAAGAGAAACGAGGAAUCAGCACCUUAUCUUACUCAUAUAGUAAGAGAGAAUGCUGGCUCUGAGUAAAGAGUCCAGAGGAACCUUGAAAACUGCAUAGAGCUAGGUGAAAAAGCCAAAAAAGAAGACCGCAAG
rnacentral:tRNA from 1 species